rnacentral:tRNA from 1 species
GCGCCCGUAGCUCAAUGGACAGAGCGCCUGGCUUCGAACCAGUCGGUUGGGGGUUCGAGUCCCUCCGGGCGUA